CGAUAAGCAUGACUUGUCUAACCUAGCAUGAUGCAUCUGAUCAUUAAAUCAUUAAACAUGAAAUCGAUAUCACAUGAAUAUCUCCUCCAAACUACAGGUGUUGGAUUCGAUGAAAUAGAUCAAUCUAUGUAAAAUAUUUUAUGCAAGAUAAAUGUUUCACAUAAAUUGGAUAAAUCAAAAGAUCAAUUGAUAAAUUCUUCAUCAUGCAACAAUCUUAUAAUAC
rnacentral:lncRNA from 1 species